GACGAACGCUGGCGGCGUGCCUAAUACAUGCAAGUAGGACGCAGUUGCGAACGGGUGAGUCACGCGUAGGUCACUGCCUGUUAGUGGGGGAUAACUAUUGGAAACGAUAGCUAAUACCGCCUACUAGUCGAUGGACCUGCGUUGUAUUAGCUAGUAGGUAGGGUCAUAGCCUACCUAGGCGACGCUACAUAACCUACUCGGGAGGGUGAACCGUCAACACGGGACUGAGAAACCGCCCCGACCCCUACGGGAGGGACGAGGUGGGAAGUAUCGGAAAAUGGGGGAACGCUUACCGCGCAACGGCGCGGGAUAGAAGGAAGGUUUUGGGGUGUAAAGGUCUGUUGUUAAGGAAGCGGUACCUAACCAGAAAGGGACGGCUAACUACGUGCCAGCAGCCGCGGUAAUAC
rnacentral:rRNA from 1 species